UUUUUCCUGCUUUCGUUAUCGUACUCUAGUCUGGAUGACUGUAUAGCGUAUCAGUGCAUGAGAGGACUGGCUGUCUGUUUUCUCCUGCUUUCGUUAUCAUACUCUAGUCUGGAUGACUGUAUAGCGUAUCAGUGCAUGAGAGGACUGUACUGGCGGUGUUUUCUCCUGCUUUCGUUAUCAUACUCUAGUCUGGAUGACUGUAUAGCGUAUCAGUGCAUGAGAGGACUGGCUGUCUGUUUUCUCCUGCUUUCGUUAUCGUACUCUAGUCUGGAUGACUGUAUAGCGUAUCAGUGCAUGAGAGGACUGUACUGGCGGUGUUUUCUCCUGCUUUCGUUAUCGUACUCUAGUCUGGAUGACUGUAUAGCGUAUCAGUGCAUGAGAGGACUGUACUGGCGGUGUUUUCUCCUGCUUUCGUUAUCAUACUCUAGUCUGGAUGACUGUAUAGCGUAUCAGUGCAUGAGAGGACUGGCUGUCUGUUUUCUCCUGCUUUCGUUAUCGUACUCUAGUCUGGAUGACUGUAUAGCGUAUCAGUGCAUGAGAGGACUGGCUGUCUGUUUUCUCCUGCUUUCGUUAUCGUACUCUAGUCUGGAUGACUGUAUAGCGUAUCAGUGCAUGAGAGGACUGUACUGGCUGUGUGUUUCCUGUACUCCUGCUUUCGUUACAGUACUCUAGAUGACUGGGUCCAAACCAAUUGCUGAGAUCAUGGGAACAAAUCAUUGGGUUAUGUUCAAUAACCACAAACAAUAUCAGACUUCGCUCAACGAUUACCAUUACAGGGUGAGACAUACUUCUAGAUUCCAUGUUGGUAAGUCUGAGGUGUCUGGCUAGAGAUACGAUAGCUCUUUCACCCUAUCAGGAACCUGUUUGCAACUCUUUAUUUUUCUUGCGAGGUGAUUAAUUAUUAUUAUUAUUUUUUAAAUAUUCUAUAUAUUAAUUGUAUUUUAUGCACAAGCGUCGAUCUCCCCUUACAAUUUUGAAUGUUCCUCCUCCCUUACCACAUAAGUUAAAUAAGCAGCUCCACUUCAUGUAGCUAACGACAUAACAUGCCGGUCUCCAUGCCAGCGUGAGGGUGUCGUCUCUAACGCAACAGCCACACUCUACUCACUGACUCACUGACUGACUGACUCACUGACUGACUCACUGACUCACUGACUCACUGACUGACUGACUCACUGACUCACUGACUGACUGACUCACUGACUCACUGACUCACUGACUCACUGACAGA
ensembl:lncRNA